CGGGCUCCCGAAAGGGAGGAGGACAGAAGGCCUGCAGCACUACAGGUUGUGGUGUGACAGAGGGGACCUUAGGAACAUAUCCUGCUCGAGGGUAUAUGAACGCUUUGGUCAUGCCAGGUGCAAAAUCAAGAUAGGUAGGGGCCACUGAGAGGGCCUGCAAAUCUCCUACUCUCCUCAGAGUGGUAAUGGCCAACAGAAAGGCGGUUUUAAGCGUUAGAUGUCUGUUUGCACAACGCCUCUAACACCACAACCAAGUCCCACGGGGGAAUACGGGACCGUACUGGAGGUCUCAGUCUCAGCGCACCGUGGAGGAAAUGUAUCAGUAGGGGGUGUCUUCCCACUGAUUGUCCACCGAGAGGGACAUGGUAGGCCGCAAUGACCGCCAAGUAAACCUUUAAGGUGGAGUGGGUCAACCCUGCAGAGAACCUGGCUUGUAGAAACUCCAGAACUGUACCAACUGGGCAGUUAGCUGGGUCAAGCUGGCAUGCUCUGCACCCCUUUGCCCACCAAAGCCGACGUUGUUCUAAGUGGCUUGGAGGGCAACGCCGGGGCCUUCAGAGACGAUGCAGCACCGGGGGACAGAUAGCUUGCGAGCGUCUGUUCCAUCCGAGGCAUCGCUCUGUAGCCGGGCUCUCCCAUCCCCACUACAUUGCCGUAGUAAUCUGACGAGGGGAUGUAGAGGCGGGCUGAAAACGGGCGUUUCCAUGAUCUAGCGAUCUCUUCAUGCAGAUCAGGAAAAAACGGAAGGCCCCGGCUAGGAGGUGGUUGGCUGGCCCGCAGAAAGCGUUCAUCGAGCUUGCUUUUCUGCGGUUCAGUUGUUUUCUCGGCGGGCCAUUCGAUGCUUAAUUUGGCCACCGCGCGUGUCACCACCUCUAAGAGCUCCUCAUACCGCGGCGAGUGGGGUGCCGAAUCCCUAUCGACAGAUUCCACAUCAACCUCCUCGGAGGAAGAGAGGCGGAGUGUCGAUCCCUCUCCCUGGGUGGAAGGAACCGCAGAGAGUGCUUCCGACUCCAGAGAUUGGGCACCGGAUCUGGCAGAAGUGGAAGGAGAUAGGGACUCGCCCGUCUCCAUUCACUCUGCCAGAUCCACUUGCGAACCCCACGAGUGCAGCUGCCAUUCUGCCUCAGCAGAAGCGGGGCCGGCACCGCGGGGAACGCUGGCGAAGGCUCCCACCUCGAAGAGAGCCCUACGGGAACGAAGCAGCCACACCGACAUUCUCUUGCAGUGCGGACAGUCGGCCCCCUCGAGAGCCGACUCAGCGUGCUUCGAACCCAGGCAGACCUCACACAGGCUGUGUGUAUCCCUACUCAUUAUAUAUCGCGGGCAGGGAGGAACACACAACCUGAAACGGAUUCGCCUUUUAAAUGCUUGGUUUUCGCCCUGCUCUUAGACAUGACUUGGAGCUCUACUGGACAGACAACAGUAAAUAAGACUCACAAGACAAACUAAGGACAUUCACACACAGAGCGCUUGCUGAAGACAUAAAGCUAACCCCAGCUGCGUGGCACGUGCUUUUAUAGCUUCCUGGUUGCUUACGUCACCCCGCCCGUAACGUCACGCUCUUCCAUUGGACUGAUUACACACGAUAUUCAGACUCGCUCACGCUAGACGCGUUCCCC
ensembl:lncRNA